UACGAAGGGGGCUAGCGUUGCUCGGAAUCACUGGGCGUAAAGCGCACGUAGGCGGCUUGUUAAGUCAGGGGUGAAAUCCUGGAGCUCAACUCCAGAACUGCCUUUGAUACUGGCGAGCUUGAGUUCGGGAGAGGUGAGUGGAACUGCGAGUGUAGAGGUGAAAUUCGUAGAUAUUCGGAAGAACACCAGUGGCGAAGGCGGCUCACUGGACCGGUAUUGACGCUGAGGUGCGAAAGCGUGGGGAGCAA
rnacentral:rRNA from 1 species